GCUUGCUCGUCCUCGUGUCUUUCAUGGAUUGUUUUCAGAUUAUCUAACGUUUCCUGCUGAUUCAAGCUCUUUGCAAGAGUAAAGAGUAAAACCAGGUGAAAUGAUGUUGCAUCAAGAACAUUCUAAAAAGAGGUUCACCAAGCUAUUGAUUUGAAACAAAAAGAGAAACGGAGAGUUCUCCUUGAGAAAAGUCAUUUUAGUGGCACAGGGGAGAAAGUGACUAAAUUGGGAGCCUUUCCUAAUCCUAGUGAGAGUUUAGCACAAAUGACACAAAAAUUCUACCAUUUUCACAGUGAAUACUGUUUUAAUUUAGCUAUUCCUGCCCCCAACCCUUUUAACUAAAAC
rnacentral:lncRNA from 1 species